UAUCCAACCAACAUGCCAAAGGGGUCGCGAUGGAUGGCAAUAAGCAGAACGUAUGGACUUCUAGGCACGGGGCAUCUUUUGGGAGUCAUAAAGAGAACCCAGGCUCCACCCAAGUAGAGGAUCACAACAAGAGCUAUGGAGCAGAUCCACUGUUCAGAGCAGUGGCGAUGCAAUGCUGCCAACCAUUCAAUUGUUUUAAAGGGCUUAGUUUCAAAUCCUGUGUGAAGUUAGCAUCGCUGCUGAUCCACUGCUUAACCAGCAGAAUUUGAAUAAAAUGACACUGGGCCUGAUGAAGUGGAAUACCUGGUUAGUUACCUUUUGGAUUUGAGACCUAUCAUUCCUGAUUGUUUCAGUAGAAAAUGCAGAAAGCAAGGAGAACUGUUUUAAUAAAACUGAAGCAAGCUA